rnacentral:rRNA from 1 species
GAUGAACGCUGGCGGCGUGCCUAAUACAUGCAAGUCGAGCGAACAGACGAGGAGCUUGCUCCUUUGACGUUAGCGGCGGACGGGUGAGUAACACGUGGGUAACCUACCUAUAAGGCUGGGAUAACUUCGGGAAACCGGAGCUAAUACCGGAUAAUAUUUCGAACCGCAUGGUUCGAUAGUGAAAGAUGGCUUUGCUAUCACUUAUAGAUGGACCUGCGCCGUAUUAGCUAGUUGGUAAGGUAACGGCUUACCAAGGCAACGAUACGUAGCCGACCUGAGAGGGUGAUCGGCCAAACUGGAACUGAGACACGGUCCAGACUCCUACGGGAGGCAGCAGUAGGGAAUCUUCCGCAAUGGGCGAAAGCCUGACGGAGCAACGCCGCGUGAGUGAUGAAGGUCUUCGGAUCGUAAAACUCUGUUAUUAGGGAAGAACAAACGUGUAAGUAACUGUGCACGUCUUGACGGUACCUAAUCAGAAAGCCACGGCUAACUACGUG